UACGUAGGGUGCAAGCGUUGUCCGGAAUUAUUGGGCGUAAAGAGCUCGUAGGCGGUUUGUCGCGUCUGCCGUGAAAGUCCGGAGCUCAACUCCGGAUCUGCGGUGGGUACGGGCAGACUAGAGUGCAGUAGGGGAGACUGGAAUUCCUGGUGUAGCGGUGAAAUGCGCAGAUAUCAGGAGGAACACCGAUGGCGAAGGCAGGUCUCUGGGCCGAUACUGACACUGAGAAGCGAAAGCGUGGGGAGCGAACAGG
rnacentral:rRNA from 1 species